rnacentral:rRNA from 1 species
CACCGGCGGCUCGAGUGGUAACCGCUAUUAUUGGGUCUAAAGGGUCUGUAGCCGGCCUGGUAAGUCUUUUGGGAAAUCCGGCAGCUCAACUGUCGGGCGUUCAGAGGAUACUGCUAGGCUCGAGACCGGGAGAGGUGAGAGGUACUUCAUGGGUAGGGGUGAAAUCUUGUAAUCCUUGAAGGACCACCAGUGGCGAAGGCGUCUCACCAGAACGGAUCUGACGGCAAGGGACGAAAGCUAGGGGCACGAACCG